GGGCUCGAGACCGGUCUACACCGGGAUGUUCAUAACCCUUUGUUGUCCGACUCUGUUGCCUCCGGGGCGACCCUGCCUUCGGAAGGGGGCUCCGGGUGGACACUUCAAACUCUUGCGUAACUUUGCAGUCUGAGUAAAUUUAAUUAAUAAAUUAAAACUUAUAACAACGGAUCUCUUGGUUCUGGCAUCGAUGAAGAACGCAGCGAAAUGCGAUAAGUAAUGUGAAUUGCAGAAUUCAGUGAAUCAUCGAAUCUUUGAACGCACAUUGCGCCCCCUGGUAUUCCGGGGGGCAUGCUUGUUCGAGCGUCAUUACACCACUCAAGCCCCGCUUGGUAUUGGGCAACGCGGUCCGCCGCGUGCCUCAAAUCGACCGGCUGGGUCUUCUGUCCCCUAAGCGUUGUGGAAACUAUUCGCUAAAGGGUGCUCGGGAGGCUACGCCGUAAAACAAACCCAUUUCUAAGGUUGACCUCGGCUCAGGUAGGGAUACCCGCUGAACUUAAGCAUAUCACCAAGCGGAGGAA
rnacentral:rRNA from 1 species